rnacentral:rRNA from 1 species
ACCACAAGAGCGUGGAGUAUGUGGCUUAAUUUGACUCAACGCGGAAAAGCUUAUCUGGUCCGGACGCAGUGAGGAUUGACAGACAGUUUCAGGAGUGGUUCUUGGUAAACAAUUGAGAGAGUUGAAGUUCUUUCAUGAUCUUGUGAGAGGUGGUGCAUGGCCGUUCUUAGUUCGUGUAGUGAUAUGUCUGCCUAAUCGCGUCACGAUAACCUAUUGGUCGACAACCCAAUUAUCACAACUGCAGCAUAACUCCCCUUGGGUGGGCGAGGCUCUGUGUAGGAUAGACCUCUGAACAGUACGCAACGAACGCGAUCGUAAUCCCUUGUUGAGUGGCCAUCCUGUAAGCUGCUGGAUUAGGAACCCAGUGGUAUUAUCUCAGCCACAGAUUUUCUGGUUGUAAUGGGCCAUUUUGAAACUCGGGGGAACAUCUGUGACUUUCUUUCUUAACGC